AGGCUUAACACAUGCAAGUCGAGGGGCAGCAUGUCCAGCAAUGGAUGAUGGCGACCGGCGGAAGGGUGCGUAACGCGUGAGCAACAUGCCCUAUACAGGGAGAUACACCAGGGAAACUUGGUCUAAUAUCCCAUAGCAUUCAUUGAAGGCAUCUUUAAUGAAUUAAAGCUUCGGUGGUAUAGGAUUGGCUCGCGUGACAUUAGCCAGAUGGUGAGGUAACGGCUCACCAUAGCAAUGAUGUCUAGGGGUUUUUGAGAGGAAGGCCCCCCACACUGGGACUGAGACACGGCCCAGACUCCUACGGGAGGCAGCAGUGAGGAAUAUUGGACAAUGGAUGGAAAUCUGAUCCAGCCAUGCCGCGUGCAGGAAGACGGCCUUAUGGGUUGUAAACUGCUUUUAUACGGGAGCAAUAAGGGUUACGAGUAAUCCGAUGAGAGUACUGUAUGAAUAAGGAUCGGCUAACUCCGUGCCAGCAGCCGCGGUAAUACGGAGGAUCCGAGCGUUAUCCGGAAUUAUUGGGUUUAAAGGGUGCGUAGGCGGCCAUUUAAGUCAGCGGUGAAAUUUUGCAGCUUAACUGUAACAGUGCCGUUGAUACUGUUUGGCUAGGAUUUGGUUGUAGUGUGCGGAAUGUGUGGUGUAGCGGUGAAAUGCUUAGAUAUCACACAGAACACCGAUUGCGAAGGCAGCACACUAAGUCAUUAUUGACGCUGAGGCACGAAAGUGUGGGGAUCAAACAGGAUUAGAUACCCUGGUAGUCCACACUGUAAACGAUGAUAACUCGCUGUCGGCGAUACACAGUCGGGGCCAAGCGAAAGC
rnacentral:rRNA from 1 species